rnacentral:lncRNA from 1 species
UAUUACUAGCAUAUUGGCUGUUUAUUAGUGCUUAUGAAAGCACAUUUUAAUGACUUAUUCUGCAUGAGCAUACGGCUAACGUCUACAGUAUACUGUCCUGCACAUUUUAUUUUAUUCUUUUUUUAUCUUACUUUUUCCAUAUCAUAUUUUUUUUUUUUUGUAACAUUUUCUUGUGUUUGUAUUCUUUAAUAAUUGUCACUGUAUGUGACAAUCUUGAAUGAAUAAUUGAAAACUAACACAAACCACAGAAAUGACUUAUUCUGCAUGAGCAUACGGCUAACGUCUACAGUAUACUGUCCCUUGUCUACUAUUUUAUUUUUAUUCUUUUUUUUAUCUUACUUUUUCCAUAUCUAUAUUUUUUUUUUUUUGUAACAUUUUCUUGUGUUUGUAUUCUUUAAUAAUUGCACUGUAUGUGACAAAUCUUGAAUGAAUAAUUGAAAACUAACACAAACCACAGAUGCCAUGAGAGCUUUAGAUACAACUCAACUCACUGUGUUUUAGAGAUCUGGAGUGGCAAGACAGUAAAAUAUUAUCACCGCCGCUUGUUCCUUUGGUGUUUCAGCCACACUCUUACUUACAAUGCCUUGAAAACACGGAGGAAAGGAAACUGAGUGUCUGAAACGUUGCUGAAGUCUAUGACCCUGUUUCCACUUUUACUGAAUUGGUUGAUUUUUUUACUUUUAUCUAAAGCACUUUGAAUUACCAUUGUGUAUGAAAUGUGCUAUAUAAAUAAACUUGCCUUAUAAGAAAGUAACCUAAAUUAGAAAGUACAUUUGGGAAAGUCUUAAUCACACACAGACUUGACAUGACCUCAGGAUCCUGCGUGCACUGACACAUUUCACCUCCGAUAAAACGGCUUAGUUCCAGAUGUGAAGUUCAGUCAGGUAUUCCUCCAAAAUAACUAUGACAGUCACCUGAGAUGCAUUUUCAUACGAGCUGUAAACGGCUGCGGUCAGAGAUUCUCCAGAACCACCUGACAUCAUAUUUUGCUCAAAGGUGGACUCAUAAAUGUUUAGUUGCAUGCAUCAUAAUUCAAAUAUGAAUCACACUGGAGAUAAGAAUCAGUGAGUUUAUGAUGCAGACAGAGGAAGGACAUUCAUUAGUGCAUUGGUGUGUUUAUGGCAGCUGUGAUUAAGGGUCGAAGUCUCUCAGCACAGGAAGCCUGAGCCACAUCCAAACCCUUUCCUGCUGGCUGAAGUCAACACGUGUGCACAGAAAACUGACCUUUGAAUCAAUGAAGUGUUGAGAUCAUGCACAGUUUAUCUUUGUGCCUUCCUUCUCUGUUCAGUCAUGUUCUUUUGUGACAUUAAAACAGUGGAUUCAUCGUUCUGUCAUCACACGGUUUCUCUUCAUCGUGUUUGCACUUACAUACAGCUGUCAUUGGGAUCUAGUGAUCAGUUUUACAGAAAAGCCCCCAAAAUCAACCGUUAUGUGUGAAUGAAUUAACACCAAUUUGAUGAUUACAAUUUAUAGUAACUGUUUUCUAUGUGAUUCUAUUGUAAAAUGUAAUUUAUUACUGUGAUUUUUGCUUGAACAUUGACUGUAAUAAUGUGCUGUAUUGUAAUCACAUUAACCGAAGUGCCAUGUUUGAAUGGACCUUUAGCCAAUAAUUGUUGAACAAACCAUGCUUUAAAAGAUAUGUCAAUAUAAAUGCAUAUUAUAAUACAUUAACAGCAAAAUGAAUGUCAAUUGUUCUUUUUUUUAAAUUGUAUUGUGAUUACACAAUGUAUUGACAUUGUACACACAUCAGAUUGUAUGUGUGUUGCUGCUCUGUGAUACUUUGAGCCUUCAAUCAGAGAUGUAUUGACAGUUCAGAAGAAACUGUUUCCAGUGAAACCAUAAAAAUCAGGAGGAGAAUGGACCAUAUACGUUCU